rnacentral:rRNA from 1 species
UCUACGGGUGGCAGCAGUGAGGAAUAUUGGUCAAUGGACGAGAGUCUGAACCAGCCAAGUAGCGUGAAGGAUGACUGCCCUAUGGGUUGUCAACUUCUUUUAUAAAGGAAUAAAACGAGGCACGUGUGCUUUUUUGCAUGUACUUUAUGAAUAAGGAUCGGCUAACUCCGUGCCAGCAGCCGCGGUAAUACGGAGGAUCCGAGCGUUAUACGGAUUUAUUGGGUUUAAAGGGAGCGUAGAUGGGUUGUUAAGUCAGUUGAGAAAGUUUGCGGCUCAACCGUAAAAUUGCAAUUGAUACUGGCAGUCUUGAGUACAGUUGAGGUAGGCGGAAUUCGUGGUGUAGCGGUGAAAUGCUUAGAUAUCACGAAGAACUCCGAUUGCGAAGGCAGUUCACUGGACUGCAACUGACACUGAGGCUCGAAAGUGUGGGUAUCAAACAGGAUUAGAUACCCCUGUAGUC